rnacentral:lncRNA from 1 species
GCAGAGGCCGGCUCCGUGUCCUCGGCCAGCCGCCGUGGGGGCCUCCUCCGCGCUGCCUCGCGUGGCGCCCGGCUCGGCCUAGCUGCGGCUGCUGAGAGAUGGCGCCCACGCGCGGGGCUGCGGCCCAGCCUCUGCCUCCCCAGUGCUGGUGGGCGCCGAACAGCUGCGGGGCGACACGCGCUGGGCGCACACACGUAGGAGCCGGAGGGUGGGGCAGAUGGUGCGCUUCCCGAACCCUCCCCGACUCGCGAGUGGGCGGCGCCGGCGGCGGAGCGUGGGGCGCGCU